GAUGAACGCUAGCGGCAGGCUUAAUACAUGCAAGUCGAGGGGCAGCAUGAUUGUAGCAAUACAAUUGAUGGCGACCGGCAAACGGGUGCGGAACACGUACACAACCUCCCAAUAAGUGGGGAAUAGCCCAGAGAAAUUUGGAUUAAUACCCCGUAACCUAACGAUGUGGCAUCACAUUGUUAUUAUAGAUUUUUCGCUUAUUGAUGGGUGUGCGGCUGAUUAGAUAGUUGGCGGGGUAACGGCCCACCAAGUCUACGAUCAGUAGCUGAUGUGAGAGCAUGAUCAGCCACACGGGCACUGAGACACGGGCCCGAUUCCUACGGGAGGCAGCAGUAAGGAAUAUUGGACAAUGGACGCAAGUCUGAUCCAGCCAUGCCGCGUGAAGGAUUAAGGUCCUCUGGAUUGUAAACUUCUUUUAUAAGGGACGAAAAAAGGCUUUUCUAAGUCGUCUGACGGUACCUUAUGAAUAAGCACCGGCUAACUCCGUGCCAGCCGCCGCAGUAACAC
rnacentral:rRNA from 1 species